CUGCAGUCAGACAGGCAGAUCUUGGUGCCUAGGCCCACGCAGCACUUACAUGGCGGCAACGAGGCAGAAAGUGUUUACAUACUGCGCAGAGGACAGAGUUUGGAGCUGCUGUAACUGAUGCCCAUCGGAGAAGAACACACAGUGCUAUCAUUUUUGAUCAGCUCUAAGCACCUGAGCAGAGAACUGCUGGGCCAGGCAUGAAUGAAGAACCUGCCCCAGAACUAGUAGCGCGUGCUAAACAAGCAAAU